AACGAACGCUGGCGGCAUGCCUAACACAUGCAAGUCGGACGAGACCUUCGGGUCUAGUGGCGCACGGGUGCGUAACGCGUGGGAACCUGCCCUUAGGUUCGGAAUAACUCCCCGAAAGGGGUGCUAAUACCGGAUAAUGUCUUCGGACCAAAGAUUUAUCGCCUUUGGAUGGGCCCGCGUUGGAUUAGCUAGUUGGUAGGGUAAAAGCCUACCAAGGCGACGAUCCAUAGCUGGUCUGAGAGGAUGAUCAGCCACACUGGGACUGAGACACGGCCCAGACUCCUACGGGAGGCAGCAGUGGGGAAUAUUGGACACUGGGCGAAAGUCUGAUCCAGCAAUGCCGCGUGAGUGAUGAAGGCCUUAGGGUUGUAAAGCUCUUUUACCCGGGAUGAUAAUGACAGUACCGGGAGAAUAAGCUCCGGCUAACUCCGUG
rnacentral:rRNA from 1 species